CUUGCGUAUAGCCCUUGUGUUCGAUGUGGCGGUGUUUCGCUUCGACUUCUCGCAGCCUCUCCCACACGCCGCCGCCACCAUGGUCCUUGUCCCCUCACUCACGGAGGAGAGGCUGCGGUUGAGGAGUAGGAGGCAGAGGAGUGGGGUUCGCAGACAAGGAAGGGGAUCGGUGGCCCGGAGCUCACGAAGAUGGAGCAAGACCGUAGGGGUGGACCACGCGCCAAAGGAGAGGCUGAGACAGAGGAGUAGGCUGGGGAUCCCAGAAGAAGGGCCACGACAACCCGACGGAUGCGGUGGCUGGAGGGAUGGUGCACGUCGUGGUCCUUCUAGGGUAACCUCUCCGUCUCUCCAUCUGAUUUUAUGGUCCUGGCCCCCACCACAGUCGAGGCAGCCACCGUCUCCUCCUGCACCCACAUGUUCAACACCUUCCAUAGCGGCCAGCAGUGAGGCCUGCGUGUUCUCCGUCGAUGUGUGGUGCCGUCCUCAAUCGUGCCUGCAAGGGAAAAGCCUUCACCCACAAUAUAUAGACAUGAAGCCACGACAGUGCAGGUAGAGUAAGUUGUUAUACAGAAUGAUUAUUCAUUUUGGUGACUCUUUGUAUUAAACCAAUGUCACUGAUGCAAUUUUGUGACUUGGUUCUAGACUAUAAGCAACCACUUGAUGUUAAACUGAAGGUCCAACCAGGCUUAUCACUCUUCUGUGCGUGGAUGCUCAGAUAAUUUACCAACUGUAUAUGUACUAGACCUUCAUCAUAGAAAGGCUACGAUUUUGAUUUUUGCCAA